UCUUUUUGCAAAUUGGGAAAGAACUGAUUUAUGUCCGGGUAUAUAACAGAAAAAGACUGAUCUCCAUUCUGUGGACUACGACUUUCACCCCCUUUCCUAGAACUUGAAUUGCUACCAGAUUCUUCAAUUUUCUUGUCAUCUUUCUGCUCCAGGUGACCUACUACAGCAAGCUCAUCUGAAAAUAUAGAUAGGAGAUAUGUCAACUGUGAAAGAUCUGAGACAAGGAAGAGUUUCUCCUUCUGAUACUGUUUAGCAUUACGAGAUAUUGCCAUCCAGCCAAGAAAACGGGCAAGAGGGGAAGUUGAAGAUGAGAAUGCAGGUAUUUUCUGCAGCCAAGCAGAAGCAGGAACUAGAUUAGCAAACCGAAAACCACUCCUGUAGUUAAUUGAAAGCUCGGACCCUUCAUCACAACCACUUGAAGCAAUUAUCAAUCUCUUAAGAAGAAUCCAGCGACGUUGAACUGCCUGCAGCUUCCACUCAUUAAACUGGACAGUUCCUUCUUUUAAUUGAUAGUAAAAAGUUCUCAGCUGCUGGUUUAAGUGCUCAGCAGAUUUUAUGAUUGUGUCAACAAUGAGCACAGGAGGACAGUUCAAUCUAGUUCCAGAGUGCAAUAGAAACAGCAGAAUUUGCAAUAGGAUCUCAUGUGUCGGGUGCUCCUCUUUUUGCAGACGAUGAAUUAAAAAAUCACAUAUAAGUGCUUGAUUUUGACGAAGUAAGGUGAUAGCAUCUGCUGAUUUUAUAUCUUGCUGAGAUAAAUCAAGUUUUUCAUCAUUCCCUUCAACAUAGGGAGUCAUACAUUCCUCGUCUGAGUUCUGCUGAUACUUCCUGUCAAGCUCAGCUGCUUCAAGCAUUAUUUCAAGAACAAAUUUGUCUCUUUUCCUCUCAAGAUCAGCUACAAUUUUGAAGUCAUUGUCCUCCUCAAAAAGUUCUCGAAGAACAGAAACUUCAUGGUUUUUACACGGCUUCUUAGUACUCAGUUUGUUCAUAAUAGGUGAACUGUCCCUGGAAGACAGCAUAAAGAACGGAUUAACAUAACACUCUGCUGCUAAAAGCAAAGCAUCUAUAGCAGCAUCAUGACCCUCCGGAGUGAUCUCACACUGAGAAUGCAAGUCCAGAGCUAAACGCCUAAAUUCAGAAGCUUUCAUCUGACAAUCUCGAUAACUUACAAGCUGAAAGUAAUCAUCAUGCAGAUUAGAAUACUCAACAGUAUUAUCAAUAGCAGAUAGCAAGCCAUGUUCAAACUGAUUGUUUGUGGACUGCUCAACAAUGUGAUUAAUUUCCUUCUUGACAUCAGAACUUAAGUCUCUGCACUUUUUCUCCAGGCUCCCAGAGACUAGUGAGAUUCUAUUGAGCUCUGGGGGGGAAAAGAGAAGGUUCACUUCCUCGGGGAUGUCUCCUUUUCCAGUCAUAUCAGAAUCAACUUUUGCAUCAGAAUCCUCAUGACUGCCAGAUCUAGAAGAAGCUCCAGCAUAGCGUAGGACAGAAGAAAGAGGUAAAACAUUCAAUAAUUGUGGUCCUAGCAGCUCAACACUAGGAGAUUGGCGAAGGUCGACAUCAGAAGGAAGCUGCAUGUGAGGUUCCAAAACUGAGAGAAGUACACUGCAUAUUCAUUGAUUCAAGACAAAUUCAGUGCAGUCAAGCAGUAUGCAUAACUUGGGAAAAAGCUUACUAUCAUAUGCAUAUCUUGGGAAAAAGCUUACUAUAAUAUGCACUUAAGCAAUAGUUACCAGACAGAAUUCAGGAUACCAGAUAACUCUUUCACUAUGACAC
rnacentral:lncRNA from 1 species